rnacentral:rRNA from 1 species
AACGGCCAUACCAUGCUGAAUAUACCGGUUCUCGUUAGAACACCGAAGUCAAGCUCAUUGGGCGCGGUCAGUUCUUGGGUGGGUGACCACCUGGGAACACCGCGUGCCGUU